AAGAUUAAAUUAAGUAACAGAGAUGCAAAAUGUUAUUCUCAACAAGCUUGCAGAAAUAAAAGUUCUUUUAAAAGAAGUUAUAGAAAUUAAGUUUCAGGCUACUGGGGUGAAGUUGCUAGAAUCAGUGGACGAAGUGGUUACACUGGAUAAUAAACUAAAAGAUAAAACCGACUUGAUAGUUUGAAAAAGAUUGGUGGUGGAAAGCCUAGAGAACAUGUUUUUUUGAUCAUGAAAAGAUAUCGGCGACGUGGAAGAAAAUGUUGACGGCAAUGCAGAAAUAUAGUUUCUUAUGUAUGUUUUUGUGAAAUAAAA
rnacentral:lncRNA from 1 species